UCUGGCUCAGGAUAAACGCUGGCGGCGUGCUUAACACAUGCAAGUCGAACGGAGUACUUCUCCCGAGACCGAGGAAGCUUGCUUCCAAAGAAUCAUUGAAGUACUUAGUGGCGGACGGGUGAGUAACGCGUGGGUAACCUGCCUCACACAGGGGGAUAACAGUUGGAAACGACUGUUAAUACCGCAUAAGCGCACAGUAUCGCAUGGUACAGUGUGAAAAACUCCGGUGGUGUGAGAUGGACCCGCGUCUGAUUAGCUAGUUGGUGAGGUAACGGCCCACCAAGGCGACGAUCAGUAGCCGGCCUGAGAGGGUGUACGGCCACAUUGGGACUGAGACACGGCCCAAACUCCUACGGGAGGCAGCAGUGGGGAAUAUUGCACAAUGGGGGAAACCCUGAUGCAGCGAACCGCCGCGUGAGCGAUGAAGUAUUUCGGUAUGUAAAGCUCUAUCAGCAGGGAAGAUAAUGACGGUACCUGACUAAGAAGCACCGGCUAAAUACGUGCCAGCCGCCGC
rnacentral:rRNA from 1 species